UACAGAGGGUGCGAGCGUUGUUCGGAAUCAUUGGGCGUAAAGCGCUUGUAGGCGGCCUGUCAAGUCGCGUGUGAAAUCCCCUGGCUUAACCAGGGAAUUGCGCUUGAGACUGGGCUGGCUUGAGUGCGGGAGAGGAUGGUGGAAUUCCCAGUGUAGAGGUGAAAUUCGUAGAUAUUGGGAAGACACCGGUGGCGAAGGCGGCCAUCUGGACCGCAACUGACGCUGAGGC
rnacentral:rRNA from 1 species